rnacentral:rRNA from 1 species
AGUGAACGCUGGCGGUAGGCCUAACACAUGCAAGUCGAACGGCAGCACAGUAAAAGCUUGCUCUUACGGGUGGCGAGUGGCGGACGGGUGAGGAAUACAUCGGAAUCUACUUUUUCGUGGGGGAUAACGUAGGGAAACUUACGCUAAUACCGCAUACGACCUACGGGGGAAAGCAGGGGAUCUUCGGACCUUGCGCGAGUGAAUGAGCCGAUGUCGGAUUAGCUAGUUGGCGGGGUAAAGGCCCACCAAGGCGACGAUCCGUAGCUGGUCUGAGAGGAUGAUCAGCCACACUGGAACUGAGACACGGUCCAGACUCCUACGGGAGGCAGCAGUGGGGAAUAUUGGACAAUGGGCGCAAGCCUGAUCCAGCCAUACCGCGUGGGUGAAGAAGGCCUUCGGGUUGUAAAGCCCUUUUGUUGGGAAAGAAAAGCAGCAGGUUAAUACCCCGCUGUUCUGACGGUACCCAAAGAAUAAGCACCGGCUAACUUCGUG